UACGGAAGGCAGCAGUGGGGAAUAUUGGACAAUGGGGGGAACCCUGAUCCAGCCAUGCCGCGUGUGUGAAGAAGGCCUUAUGGUUGUAAAGCACUUUUAAGCGAGGAGGAGGCUACUGAGACUAAUACUCUUGGAUAGUGGACGUUACUCGCAGAAUAAGCACCGGCUAACUCUGUGCCAGCAGCCGCGGUAAUACAGAGGGUGCGAGCGUUAAUCGGAUUUACUGGGCGUAAAGCGUGCGUAGGCGGCUUUUUUAAGUCGGAUGUGAAAUCCCCGAGCUUAACUUGGGAAUUGCAUUCGAUACUGGGAAGCUAGAGUAUGGGAGAGGAUGGUAGAAUUCCAGGUGUAGCGGUGAAAUGCGUAGAGAUCUGGAGGAAUACCGAUGGCGAAGGGCAGCCAUCUGGCCUAAUACUGACGCUGAGGUACGAAAGCAUGGGGAGCAAACAAGGAUUAGAUACC
rnacentral:rRNA from 1 species